ensembl:snoRNA
GCCCUUCUCAAAAGCACUUGUUGGGUCUGUGUGCCGUGGCUCAGUGAGUUGUCGUGGAAGGGCAGAGAAAAGCAUCACUUUUGGGUGAAGUGGCAGCUUGUGCUGUUUAUUUCAAUCAGUGAUGUGACACGG